rnacentral:rRNA from 1 species
UACGGGGGGAGCAAGCGUUGUUCGGAUUUACUGGGCGUAAAGGGCGCGUAGGCGGCCACCGCAAGUCGGUUGUGAAAUCUCCGGGCUUAACCCGGAAAGGUCAAUCGAUACUGCGGGGCUAGAGUGCAGAAGGGGCAACUGGAAUUCUCGGUGUAGCGGUGAAAUGCGUAGAUAUCGAGAGGAACACCUGCGGCGAAGGCGGGUAGCUGGGCCGACACUGACGCUGAGGCGCGAAAGCCAGGGGAGCGAACGGG